rnacentral:rRNA from 1 species
AUUGAACGCUGGCGGCAUGCCUUACACAUGCAAGUCGAACGGUAGCGGGCCUUCGGGUGCCGACGAGUGGCGAACGGGUGAGUAAUGCAUCGGAACGUGCCAUUGAGUGGGGGAUAACGUAGCGAAAGUUACGCUAAUACCGCAUAUUCUGUGAGCAGGAAAGCAGGGGACCGCAAGGCCUUGCGCUCUUUGAGCGGCCGAUGUCAGAUUAGCUAGUUGGUGAGGUAAAGGCUUACCAAGGCGACGAUCUGUAGCGGGUCUGAGAGGAUGAUCUGCCACACUGGAACUGAGGCACGGUCCAGACUCCUACGGGAGGCAGCAGUGGGGAAUUUUGGACAAAUGGGGGCAACCCUGAUCCAGCCAUGCCGCGUGAGUGAAGAAGGCCUUCGG